AAAAAGACAAAUCCUGGUUUCCGUGUCUAACGUUUGACCGUCCGUCUUAUUUGAAAAAAUUAUGAAAAAAAUUAAAAAGACAAGUCACGCAUAAAAUAUUAAUCAUGUUUUAUCAUCUAACAACAAUAAAAAUACGAAUUAUAAAACAAUUUCAUAUAAGACGGAUAGUCAAAGUUGGACACGGAAAUUCAGGGUUUGUCUUUUU
rnacentral:pre_miRNA from 1 species